CUUGUUUGGAUAUUUUGUAACUUUAAUUUGCACUUGACAUUCUUGAGUUUAAUUCCAUUUUGUUUUGCAUUAAUUGGGUUAAAUUGUAUUGUCUUGUGAAACUUUCUUUUGUAAUAAACCAUUUUACAUUCCACUUGUUACUCUGGACACAUUUUAUGUUACCGCUCCUGGACUCCUAGACCUUGGGGGCGUAACAUAAGUGGGGGCUCGUCCGGGACCACUCGUUAAGGAGGAUCCCUGUGUCUAGAGUUAAAAGAGGAACUUUUUUUUUAAUAGUCUGUAUUCAGCAACGAUGUGAUUUUCAUUCAGUCUGGAGCACUUUUUAGCCGACCCCUCCCUUGAGCUUAUACAAAGCUGCCGCAAGUGUGAAUUGCUGCAAAUUAUGGAGCACUUUAAGCUACAGGUCCUUAAACAUUACCUAAAGGCUCUGAUAGUGGCUGGGUUGAUGGAGAUUGGUGUGAUCAAAGAGCCUGAUCUGCCUGAGGUUGCUGCAGUGCCACGCCAAAAGUCCUUGUCUGUGAAGGACCUCAAAGAUGGUCCUAGUGUGGAGGUAGGAGAGAGGUACCGGAGGAAGACACCUUGCACACUCCCUUGCUAUGACCCACUGUCGUCUGUGAGCUCAGGACGAGAUGGAGCUCGUUUGAAGGUGCGGUUGGCACGUCUCCAGAUGGAGGUGGAGGAAAAGGCCCAGGACAGAAAAGCUCAGCUGGAGCUUGAGAUCAGGAGGCUGAGAAAGCAAUACAGCUUCGCAAACUUGAGCUGGAGGUCCAGACUGGAGCGCCCUCUGCCUCUGUCACACCAGGUUCCACCUCCAUGUCUGCUAUGCCAUUCAACAUCACGAGGGUGAUGCACAACCCUAAAGUAACAACAUCUCGUUACUUUCAAAUUUGGUGGAGCUGAAGGAGCCUGGUCCACUCUGGGAGAAAGCAUCCAUCCCCCUGACCAUCCAUCCCCCUGACCAUCCAUCCCCCUGACCAGACAACAUUUGUCAUCUGAUCAACAAGCUGAUGAGACAUUACAAAGAUGUUUCAAGCAGGUGGUGCUGCUGAUAUAAACCAGCUGGAGGAAAAACCUGGAUCAAACCAUUUUCUGAAAGACUGAACGGGGGAGACUUCAAGUUGAUUUUAUUUAAUUUUGUCACUUAAAUAUUCACUUAUUGUUUGUGCUAAGUUAAAGUUAGUUUUCUUUGUUUCAUGGGAUGCUUUAGUUAAUUUUGUAUUUAUUUGUUCUUUUGUUGUGUGAUGUCUCCCUCAUGUGGUAGAUUUAGGUAACUCCACCCUAUGUAAGCAGCUUUUUGUUCUUUGUUUGGAGGUCAGUUUUGUUUGUUCAGUUGACCUCA